AGUCGAACGGUGAACAUGGAGCUUGCUCUGUGGGAUCAGUGGCGAACGGGUGAGUAACACGUGAGCAACCUGCCCCUGACUCUGGGAUAAGCGCUGGAAACGGCGUCUAAUACUGGAUAUGUGACGUGACCGCAUGGUCUGCGUUUGGAAAGAUUUUUCGGUUGGGGAUGGGCUCGCGGCCUAUCAGCUUGUUGGUGAGGUAAUGGCUCACCAAGGCGUCGACGGGUAGCCGGCCUGAGAGGGUGACCGGCCACACUGGGACUGAGACACGGCCCAGACUCCUACGGGAGGCAGCAGUGGGGAAUAUUGCACAAUGGGCGCAAGCCUGAUGCAGCAACGCCGCGUGAGGGAUGACGGCCUUCGGGUUGUAAACCUCUUUUAGCAGGGAAGAAGCGAAAGUGACGGUACCUGCAGAAAAAGCGCCGGCUAACUACGUGCCAGCAGCCGCGGUAAUACGUAGGGCGCAAGCGUUAUCCGGAAUUAUUGGGCGUAAAGAGCUCGUAGGCGGUUUGUCGCGUCUGCUGUGAAAUCCCGAGGCUCAACCUCGGGCCUGCAGUGGGUACGGGCAGACUAGAGUGCGGUAGGGGAGAUUGGAAUUCCUGGUGUAGCGGUGGAAUGCGCAGAUAUCAGGAGGAACACCGAUGGCGAAGGCAGAUCUCUGGGCCGUAACUGACGCUGAGGAGCGAAAGGGUGGGGAGCAAACAGGCUUAGAUACCCUGGUAGUCCACCCCGUAAACGUUGGGAACUAGUUGUGGGGUCCAUUCCACGGAUUCCGUGACGCAGCUAACGCAUUAAGUUCCCCGCCUGGGGAGUACGGCCGCAAGGCUAAAACUCAAAGGAAUUGACGGGGACCCGCACAAGCGGCGGAGCAUGCGGAUUAAUUCGAUGCAACGCGAAGAACCUUACCAAGGCUUGACAUAUACGAGAACGGGCCAGAAAUGGUCAACUCUUUGGACACUCGUAAACAGGUGGUGCAUGGUUGUCGUCAGCUCGUGUCGUGAGAUGUUGGGUUAAGUCCCGCAACGAGCGCAACCCUCGUUCUAUGUUGCCAGCACGUAAUG
rnacentral:rRNA from 1 species